rnacentral:rRNA from 1 species
UACGUAGGGGGCAAGCGUUGUCCGGAUUUAUUGGGCGUAAAGAGCGUGUAGGCGGCUAGAUAGGUCCGUUGUGAAAACUCAAGGCUCAACCUCGAGACGUCGAUGGAAACCAUCUGGCUAGAGUCCGGAAGAGGAGAGUGGAAUUCCUGGUGUAGCGGUGAAAUGCGCAGAUAUCAGGAAGAACACCCGUGGCGAAGGCGGCUCUCUGGGCCAAAACUGACGCUGAGGAGCGAAAGCGUGGGGAGCGAACAGG